GAUGAACGCUGGCGGCGUGCCUAACACAUGCAAGUCGAGCGAACAGACGAGGAGCUUGCUCCUCUGACGUUAGCGGCGGACGGGUGAGUAACACGUGGAUAACCUACCUAUUAAACUGGGAUAACUUCGGGAAACCGGAGCUAAUACCGGAUAAUAUAUUGAACCGCAUGGUUCAAUAGUGAAAGACGGUUUUGCUGGUAUUUAUAGAUGGAUCCGCGCCGCAUUAGGUAGUUGGUAAGGUAACGGCUUACCAAGGCAAAGAUGCGUAGCCGACCUGAGAGGGUGAUCGGCGACACUGGAACUGAGACACGGUCCAGACUCCUACGGGAGGCAGCAGUAGGGAAUCUUCCGCAAUGGGCGAAAGCCUGACGGAGCAACGCCGCGUGAGUGAUGAAGGUCUUCGGAUCGUAAAACUCUGUUAGUAGGGAAGAACAAAUGUGUAAGUAACUAUGCACGUCUUGACGGUACCUAAUCAGAAAGCCACGGCUAACUACGUG
rnacentral:rRNA from 1 species